GAUGAACGCUGGCGGCGUGCCUAAUACAUGCAAGUAGAACGCUGAAGGAGGAGCUUGCUCUUCUGGAUGAGUUGCGAACGGGUGAGUAACGCGUAGGUAACCUGCCUGGUAGCGGGGGAUAACUAUUGGAAACGAUAGCUAAUACCGCAUGACAACAGUUAUUGCAUGAUAACUGUUUAAAAGGGGCAACUGCUCCACUACCAGAUGGACCUGCGUUGUAUUAGCUAGUUGGUGAGGUAACGGCUCACCAAGGCGACGAUACAUAGCCGACCUGAGAGGGUGAUCGGCCACACUGGGACUGAGACACGGCCCAGACUCCUACGGGAGGCAGCAGUAGGGAAUCUUCGGCAAUGGACGGAAGUCUGACCGAGCAACGCCGCGUGAGUGAAGAAGGUUUUCGGAUCGUAAAGCUCGGUUGUAAGAGAAGAACGAGUGUGAGAGUGGAAAGUUCACAAUGUGACGGUAUCUGACCAGAAAGGGACGGCUAACUACGUG
rnacentral:rRNA from 1 species